AACGAACGCUGGCGGCAAGCUUAACACAUGCAAGUCGAACGGACCGUAUACGCAGCUUGCUGCGUGUAUGGUUAGUGGCAGACGGGUGAGUAAUGCAUAGGAAUCUACCUAGUAGUAUGGGAUAGCCACUAGAAAUGGUGGGUAAUACUGUAUAAUCCCUGCGGGGGAAAGAUUUAUCGCUAUUAGAUGAGCCUAUGUCAGAUUAGCUAGUUGGUGGGGUAAUGGCCUACCAAGGCGGUGAUCUGUAGCUGGUCUGAGAGGAUGAUCAGCCACACUGGAACUGAGACACGGUCCAGACUCCUACGGGAGGCAGCAGUGGGGAAUAUUGGACAAUGGGCGCAAGCCUGAUCCAGCUAUGCCGCGUGAGUGAGGAAGGCCUUAGGGUUGUAAAACUCUUUCAGUAGGGAAGAUAAUGACGGUACCUACAGAAGAAGUCC
rnacentral:rRNA from 1 species